rnacentral:rRNA from 1 species
AGCGAACGCUGGCGGCAGGCCUAACACAUGCAAGUCGAACGGAUCCUUCGUGAUUAUUUGCGGACGUGUGAUUAACACGUGGGAACGUGCCCUUUGGUUCGGAACAACUCAGGUAAACUUGAGCUAAUACCGGAUGUGCCCUUCGGGGGAAGGAUUUAUCGCCAUUGGGUCGGCCCGCGUCUGAUUAGCUAGUUGGUGAGGUAACGGCCAACCAAGGCGACGAUCAGUAGCUGGUCUGAGAGGAUGAUAAGUCACACUGGGAAUGCGACACGGCCCAGAAUCGUAGGGAAGGCAGCAGUGGGGAAUCUUGCGCAAUGGGCGAUAGUCCGACGCAGCCACGCGGGGUGAAUCAUGCAGGUCUUAGGAUUGUACAAUUCUUUCAGCGGGGACGAUAAUGACGGUAACCGCAGAAGAAGCUCCGGCUAACUUCGUG